rnacentral:tRNA from 1 species
GGUUUUGUAGUCAAUUAUGAUUUUAAAUUGCAAGUUUAAAGGUAAAGAUUUUCUUUCAAAGCCU